GCUGUCUUUCUCUCUCUAUCUCUCUCUCUCUGUCUCUCAGUGGGUUUGGACCGGGUCGGUUCUGAGAGCAGGGAUACAGGUCUGGGCAGUGAUAAGGGAAGCUCUUCUCCUGAUUGGUUGAAUUCUGGUCUCCCCGACCCGUCUCCAGUCUCAGUGCAGGUGAGCGCUGGAGAGGCGGGGCCAGAACUAAGUACCGCCCCCUGCUGUCCGGGGGAGGGAUCUGGAGGUCCAGUGGGAUUCAGGACUGAGCAGCGUCUGUGGAGAUUACAGCACCUACUCAGAACCAAUACCAAGGUGGGGGUUGAGGAGGAGGAGGAGGAGGUGGAGGAGGAGGAGCUGGACAGUGUCUGUACUGAAGAUUUUAGCACCCGGUUCCAAGAGUUGAUGCUAAAACUGAGAGAGCCCACUGUGGGCGGAGCAUGUGGUGUGGGCGGGGCAUGUGAGCUGAUCUCAGACAGAACAGCUCCACAGGUGAAAAAGCAGAAUCGUUUAGGAAAUCAGAAGAACUCACAGCAGUGUGGAAAUCACACAGGCAGCUCUGAUGAUGAAGGUACAGUGGAGAUCAGACAGUGUGGGAGGAGUCACGGUGGGAGGGGUUACGGAGUGCUGAGAUCUCUGGCCGGAGUUCAGAAGACUGUAAAGAUAAACCAGAGCAGGAAGAAGAUCUCCUUCAGCUCCACCCCCUCAAUCAGCUCCACCCCCUCAGUCAGCUCCGCCCCCUCGGCCGGCUCCACCCUCUUCACCACUUCAGUAGAGUGUGAGCAGGUGGAGCAGGUGGAGCAGGAGGCUCGGUUGGGGGUUCUGGAGAAAAUUCUGUCCCAGAAAGAGGUGCAGCUGCUGGAGCUGCAGGAGGAACAGCGCUCCCUACAGACGGAGCUCCAGACCUGCAGAGAGGAGCAGAAAACCCAGAGAGAGAAGGUGAUUCACAGCAAAUACCCCUCUAUAAAACAUCUCUCCAUCAGCAGCCGGAGUCUGAGAGAGAGAGAGAGAGAGAGUACAGUAGAUCAUGCUGUUUCUCCAUCAGCAGCCGGAGUCUGAGAGAGAGAGAGUACAGUAGGUGGUGCUGGUUGGUACAGGCGUCUGUUAGCU
rnacentral:lncRNA from 1 species